rnacentral:rRNA from 1 species
AUGGCGCUGACGAGUCGCCUUCUGGGCGUCCUCCUCGGCAUCACAGUGCCGCUGCUCUUCUUCUCCCGUGCAGAGGGGGGUGAGGUAGGCGUGUGCUAUGGGAGGAUGGCGACUAACCUGCCUGACCCGGCGACUGUGGUGCAACUGCUCAAGAAGAACAGCAUCACCAUGGUGAGGAUCUACGACACCGACCCGACGGUGCUGCGCUCGCUGGCCGACACCGGCAUCAAGGUCACGGUGGAGCUAACCAACGAGGAGCUGCCCUCCGCUGCCACGGACCAAAAUUUCGCUGAUCAAUGGGUGCAGAACAAUGUGAAGGCCUACUACCCGGCCACGCAGAUCAAUGGCGUGACGAUCGGGAACGAGGUCUUCAAAGAGGCUAGUCAGUUGAACUCCCAGCUCGUCCCGGCCAUGAAGAAGGUGCAAGCGGCGCUGGCUCGACUGGGCCUGGCGGACGCCGUGAAGGUGACCACGCCCAUCGCGUUCGACGCGCUCAAGACGUCGUUCCCGCCCUCCGAGGGUGCGUUCCGUGACGACAUCGCGUUGUCGGUGAUGAGCCCCAUGGUCGACUUCUUGCAGGAAACCGGGUCGUACCUCAUGAUGAAUAUCUACCCGUACCUUGCGUACCUCAGUACUCCCGGCAUGUCCAUCGACUAUCUCUUGUUCCGCCCCAACGCUGGCAUUCUUGACAGGAAUAGCAGGCAAACGUACUUCAGCCUCCUCGACGCGCAGCUUGACGCUGUGUACUAUGCGAUGGAGAAGCUGCCGUCCUCCAGCCUGCGUGCUGGGGGGAUGAGGAAGCUCACAGCAGGGGGCGGAAUACUGGAGGUGAAGCUUGGUGAGAUUCACCACCCAACCAGAGGCCACCAUGGCGUGGGAACAAGAGCCAACGCCCAAGCGUUCACCGAUGGUCUCAUGAGAAAAGUGCGUGGCGGUAACUCCGGCACCACCUCAAACAGAUAUAACCGGCUCGCCACCAGUGCUGUCGGCACCCCGCACCGUCCCAACGCCGAUCUUGACGUGUACAUCUUCGAACUCUUCAAUGAGGACAACAAGCCCGAAGACGAGCAGGACUUCGGGUUGUUCUACCCGAACCAGCAGCCCGUGUACCAAGUCGACUUCGUCCAUGGCGGCACUGGUGCCGGCCCCGUGCAACCGAGCUACUGCACUCAGGGUGGACACGGUCCGGGCCGGUCCGGUCCCUGA